UCUUUUUGUAUUAAUAGAAGGUUGUGCCUGCCCACUGAUGAAUUAUUAAAGGGCCGCGGUAUUUUGACCGUGCAAAGGUAGCAUAAUCAUUAGUUUUUUAAUUGAAAACUGGAAUGAAUGGUUUGACGAGAUAAUAACUGUCUUAUAAUUAUGGAUUGAAUUUUACUUUUGAGUUAAAAGGCUCAAAUGAGUAUAAGGGACGAGAAGACCCUAUAGAUCUUAACAAUUUGAUUAUUAUAUUGAUUUAGUUGUACUAUUUAUAGUAUAAAUAAUUUGAUUUGUUUUGUUGGGGUGACAAGAGAAUAUAAAAACUUCUUUAUAUUUAACUUUGAUGGAUGGAAAUAUGAUCCUUUAUUUUGGAAUUAAGAUUAAGAUACCUUAGGGAUAACAGCGUAAUUUUGUUGGAGAGUUCUUAUCGAUAAUGGAGAUUGCGACCUYKAUGUUGGAUUAAGAUUAAAUU
rnacentral:rRNA from 1 species